GUUGUAUAGUCAAGUAAUUAAGUGCAUGUGGUGGAUGCCUUGGCAGUCAGAGGCGAUGAAAGACGUGAUAGCCUGCGAAAAGCUCCGGGGAGGCGGCAAAUAUCCUUUGAUCCGGAGAUGUCUGAAUGGGGGAACCCACCUACAGGUAGGUAUUGCAACAUGAAUACAUAGUGUUGCAAGGCGAACGAGGGGAAGUGAAACAUCUCAGUACCCUUAGGAAAAGAAAUCAAUUGAGAUUCCCUCAGUAGCGGCGAGCGAACGGGGAUCAGCCCAUUAAGUUAUGUGUGUUUUAGUGGAACGCUCUGGGAAGUGCGAACGUAGAGGGUGAUAUUCCCGUACACGAAAGGGCACACAUAAUGAUGACGAGUAGGGCGAGGCACGUGAAACCUUGUCUGAAUAUGGGGGGACCAUCCUCCAAGGCUAAAUACUCCUGACUGACCGAUAGUGAACCAGUACCGUGAGGGAAAGGCGAAAAGAACCCCUGUGAGGGGAGUGAAAUAGAUCCUGAAACCGCAUGCAUACAAGCAGUGGGAGCACCUUCGUGGUGUGACUGCGUACCUUUUGUAUAAUGGGUCAGCGACUUAUAUUCAGUAGCGAGGUUAACCGUAUAGGGGAGCCGUAGAGAAAUCGAGUCUUAAUAGGGCGUUUAGUUGCUGGGUAUAGACCCGAAACCAGGCGAUCUAUCCAUGAGCAGGUUGAAGGUUGGGUAACACUAACUGGAGGACCGAACCCACUGUCGUUGAAAAGCCAGGGGAUGACUUGUGGAUAGGGGUGAAAGGCUAAUCAAGCCUGGUGAUAGCUGGUUCUCCCCGAAAGCUAUUUAGGUAGCGCCUCGGACGAAUACCAUAGGGGGUAGAGCACUGUUUCGGCUAGGGGGUCAUCCCGACUUACCAAACCGAUGCAAACUCCGAAUACCUAUGAGUACUAUCCGGGAGACAGACUGCGGGUGCUAACGUCCGUAGUCAAGAGGAAAACAAUCCAGACCGCCAGCUAAGGCCCCAAAAUCAUAGUUAAGUGGGAAACGAUGUGGGAAGGCAUAGACAGCUAGGAGGUUGGCUUAGAAGCAGCCACCCUUUAAAGAAAGCGUAAUAGCUCACUAGUCGAGUCGGCCUGCGCGGAAGAUGUAACGGGGCUAAAACUAUGUGCCGAAGCUGCGGAUGUAUACUUUGUAUACGUGGUAGGGGAGCGUUCUGUAAGCCGAUGAAGGUGUGUUGAGAAGCAUGCUGGAGGUAUCAGAAGUGCGAAUGCUGACGUGAGUAACGACAAAACGGGUGAAAAACCCGUUCGCCGAAAGACCAAGGGUUCCAGUCCAACGUUAAUCGGGGCUGGGUGAGUCGACCCCUAAGGCGAGGCCGAAAGGCGUAGUCGAUGGGAAAAUGGUUAAUAUUCCAUUACUUCUGUGUAAUGCGAUGAGAGGACGGAGAAGGCUAAAUCAGCCUGGCGUUGGUUGUCCAGGUGAAAGGAUGUAGGCAUGUAUCUUAGGCAAAUCCGGGGUACUCUAUGCUGAGAUCUGAUAGCAAGCUGUACUUGUACAGCGAAGUGGUUGAUGCCAUGCUUCCAGGAAAAGUCUCUAAGCUUCAGUUACACAGGAAUCGUACCCGAAACCGACACAGGUGGUCAGGUCGAGUAGACCAAGGCGCUUGAGAGAACUCUGCUGAAGGAACUAGGCAAAAUGGUACCGUAACUUCGGGAGAAGGUACGCUGUUGUUGGUGAUGGAACUCGCUUCCUGAGCUGACGACAGCCGCAGAAACCAGGCCGCUGCAACUGUUUAUUAAAAACAUAGCACUCUGCAAACACGAAAGUGGACGUAUAGGGUGUGAUGCCUGCCCGGUGCUGGAAGGUUAAUUGAUGGGGUUAGCGUAAGCGAAGCUCUUGAUCGAAGCCCCAGUAAACGGCGGCCGUAACUAUAACGGUCCUAAGGUAGCGAAAUUCCUUGUCGGGUAAGUUCCGACCUGCACGAAUGGCAUAAUGAUGGCGGCGCUGUCUCCAGCAGAGGCUCAGUGAAAUCGAAAUCGCUGUGAAGAUGCAGUGUACCCGCGGCUAGACGGAAAGACCCCGUGAACCUUUACUGCAGCUUGACACUGAACUUUGACCUUACUUGUGUAGGAUAGGUGGGAGGCUUUGAAGCUGGAACGCUAGUUCCAGUGGAGCCGUCCUUGAAAUACCACCCUGGUAAUGUUGAGGUUCUAACUCUGUCCCGUGAUCCGGGACGAGGACCGUGUCUGGUGGGUAGUUUGACUGGGGCGGUCUCCUCCUAAAGAGUAACGGAGGAGUACGAAGGUGCGCUCAGCGUGGUCGGAAAUCACGCGUAGAGUAUAAAGGCAAAAGCGCGCUUAACUGCGAGACCCACAAGUCGAGCAGGUACGAAAGUAGGUCUUAGUGAUCCGGUGGUUCUGUAUGGAAGGGCCAUCGCUCAACGGAUAAAAGGUACUCUGGGGAUAACAGGCUGAUACCGCCCAAGAGUUCAUAUCGACGGCGGUGUUUGGCACCUCGAUGUCGGCUCAUCUCAUCCUGGGGCUGAAGCAGGUCCCAAGGGUAUGGCUGUUCGCCAUUUAAAGAGGUACGCGAGCUGGGUUUAGAACGUCGUGAGACAGUUCGGUCCCUAUCUACCGUGGGCGCUGGAAAUUUGAGAGGAUCUGCUCCUAGUACGAGAGGACCAGAGUGGACGAACCUCUGGUGUACCGGUUGUGACGCCAGUCGCAUCGCCGGGUAGCUAUGUUCGGAAGGGAUAACCGCUGAAAGCAUCUAAGCGGGAAGCCUACCUCAAGAUAAGAUUUCCCUAGGACUUUAUGUCCUCUAAAGAGCCGUUCGAGACUAGGACGUUGAUAGGUUGGAUGUGGAAGCAUAGUGAUAUGUGAAGCUGACCAAUACUAAUUGCUCGUGAGGCUUGACUAUACAACACCCAAGCAGUUG
rnacentral:rRNA from 1 species